rnacentral:lncRNA from 1 species
AGUGAGUUAUUAGCCCAGUUAUAACUCAUUUCUAGUCAACAAUGGGGGAGGGGUUGCUUCCAACAAGAGCACAACAUGUGUGCAUUUCUAGCCAUCUUUGAAAACAGAUAGCAGUGGGCCAGUAACCCGGAAGAUUGCUGGAUCAAAUCCCCGAGCUGACAAGGUGUGCAGCUGUCUCUGGUCAUGAGAUCUCGAGCCGUCGCUGCUGUGGAGAUCCAGCCUACCUCAGCUCCUGUCCUGGGGGCCUCUCCUGUCGCUGAUGGGGCGGUGUCGCAGUCUUCAGUCCGGCCCAACCGAAUUAUCUGGGACCUUCGUCUGCUCGUCCUGUUGCGGCCUGGCCCCCACCUGUCCCUUUGCCUGGGCCCGGCAGUCACCGCCUGUUGUUGCUUCGUGGCUCCAGCCACCUAAGUAUCCAGCUGCCUAAGUAUCCAGCCGCCUAAGUAUCCAGCUGCAGAGUUAUUGUCGAGCUCUGCAGCUGCAGCCCUGCGAUCUCCAGUCCUAAGACUCUUGUCCAGCUUUGCCGCUGCGACCUCCAGUCCUGGUGUCCUCAGCUGACACCAUGCCGGGGGUCAAGAUGACUCCUGCUCCUCACCUGGGGACCUUAUAAGCCCUCACUGCCGAGAUCCUCCUGUUGCCUGUUUCUGGGCAGAGGGGGCAGACGCCACCAGAUCUACCGCCGCAUCCUGAUGGCUCCCCUCUUCCAGAACCGUCUCACAGCAUGCACUGAUCCCCACCAUGUCACACACCCUGGUCUGGGGACCUCAGGCACCUUUGGGACAGGGCGGCCAGGUACACCAAGAGAUAGGACAUCUGUUGGACCAGCUGCCCAUCUGAUCUACAUCCCUGCCUCGCUGGAUGACCACAAGUCUUCACGUCAUCUCUCUCAGUGACUGUCUACCCUUGCUGCCCAUUGUUGUUGAUUUAAAAUUUGUACAACACAUUUGGUGGCGGCUGUUAAAAGUGGCCAGCUUUCUAGCACUCCCUUCUGGUUAGUUUAGUCAGGCAGCUUAGUCUCCUUUUCUACAACUUAACCCUGUUUUUCACUAUUUGUAACAAUAUAUUUCCAUAUUGAAGACAUGCAAAUUACCUGUUCAACGUCUCUAAAGAAAAUAAUAAAACAAUGUAUUUAGCAA